rnacentral:rRNA from 1 species
UACGGAGGGGACUAGCGUUGUUCGGAAUUACUGGGCGUAAAGCGCACGUAGGCGGCUCUGUAAGUUAGAGGUGAAAGCCCGGGGCUCAACUCCGGAAUUGCCUUUAAGACUGCAUCGCUAGAAUUGUGGAGAGGUAAGUGGAAUUCCGAGUGUAGAGGUGAAAUUCGUAGAUAUUCGCAAGAACACCAGUGGCGAAGGCGGCUCACUGGCCCGUAACUGACGCUGAGGCACGAAAGCGUGGGGAGCAAACAGG